GAUUUCGGUCCCAGCGCCGUGGAAUAGUUCAUUGCCCCUGGCGCUGGAGCAAUAGGUUCAAAUCCCGUAGUGAACCAAUACACGAAGUACGGUGAAGGAGUGAUUCUGCAGAGAAUUCGGGAAGCAAAUACAGUGAGAUGUGUGGAUAGGGAGACAAAGCCGAGUAUAUCCACGGCUUGAGGGGCGUGUGUAUUAAUUGCACUUCAUCCACGCCUGCUCCCCUUCCGAUCUGGGUGGACAUUGUGCCAGGAGGGGGCCCUCUUUCCUGGACGUGAACAAGUCCAGGCAUCUAUGAAUCACGAAAAAUGCUGCAGAGGUCAGCGAGAUGAUGUGGAAUGUUCAAAGGAUCUACAAUGGUCGACAUAAUACAGACAAUAGCUGAAGUGGUGACAACACAUUCCUUUCUAAUGUGUGCAGGUGCAGGUUCGGACAACAAAUAACCACAAAUCGAUCAACAGUGAAGACAACUGUUAACCAAACAGAACAGUCCCUGGAUGCAUAGAUGAAAGAAAUCUUGAGACUGCAUACAGGAGUUAUUGACAGGAAACUAUUUGGAGAAUAAAUACCAGGAAUACGGUUUAACAGCACAGCAGUGAUGAUUACCAGGAGAUCCGUCACCGCCAUGGAGACCAGAUACCAUGUGAUGCAUCUAGAGAGACCACACCUUCCUCGGGACAGGAUUAUAAUUGCCAGUAAACUAGCUGCGAGGCAGAUAGA